AAAACUUAUUUGGAUCUCAUUGUUGUAGAAGCUCUAAGAGACAUGCAUCCCUAGAGUUAAUAAACUUAUUUUAAUGAUUUAUUUUUAACAAUCUCAAAAACCUCUCAAAUAUAUAUGGCGCAUUUGCAAAAAUAUAUUUUUUCAAAAAUACCACAGUCUAUUUUCAAAAAUAUCUUUUUCAUAUACAAAAUGACUAAAUUACCUUUAAUGAGAAAAUGAAACUAUUAUGCCAAACAAAAUUGGAGCCAAAAAGUUUUUAGUAACGGAAAACAAUUAUCCGCGAAAAGUUGAGUUUAAAAAUCCUUGUAAAUAUUUCAAACCCUUUUAAGAUCCUUGUAUAUAUUUUAAAAUUCCUCUUAUUAAAUCCUUGUAAAUCUUUUUAAAUCUUUUAAAACUCAUAUAAAGUCUUUAAAAGUACUUGUGAAUCUUUUUAAAACUCUUGUAAAGUCUUA
rnacentral:sRNA from 1 species